rnacentral:rRNA from 1 species
UACGAGGGGAGCAAGCGUUGUUCGGAUUUACUGGGCGUAAAGGGCGCGUAGGCGGUCGUGACAAGUCACUUGUGAAAUCUCCGGGCUUAACUCGGAACGGUCAAGUGAUACUGUCGGACUAGAGUACAGAAGGGGCAACUGGAAUUCCCGGUGUAGCGGUGGAAUGCGUAGAUAUCGGGAGGAACACCAGUGGCGAAGGCGACUCUCUGGCCUGUAACUGACACUGAGGCGCGAAAGCGUGGGGAGCGAACAGG